GCUGUGCACGUGAACAUUUACACAUUUGACCUAUUUAACUACUUUGAUUAAUGUUAUACAUCUGUCCUACAACCAUUCGUUCCAUAGAACUAAAACUGGACACUUGACCAUUUUCUGAUGACAAAGUCUAAUGUGUUAUUUCUGUAGUAGUUAUUACUUCACAAUACAUUUAGACACAGCUCAGUAUCUUGGUAAAUGUCUCUAACUAGUGAUAGCUCGCCACUCCCGUGGUAGUUUGACUCAUAAUGACAUUGAACUUCCCCUCUGUAAUCAUAUUACAGUAAUAGUGAUCUGAGCAUUAUCAAGAUUUAC